AUCUAAUUUGUUGUUUGGCGUUGGAGAAAUAUACAUCCGAGGUCGUCAAUUAAGAUUUUAACUUUUUUAAGUCAUUGACAUAUAAAGGUUUCAAAUCCAUCUGUGUAUAUAUAGAGGAAGUCUUUCGUUUGUAAAGCAGAAAGUUUUCAAAGACGAUCAUCGGGUUGGUUUGACAGUUCAACUUUCUCAAAGAUAACAAUGAACUUUGUUCAGCUAUUGUUGCUCCUUGUUCUGGUUAUCCUGACCGUCUACGUCAUGGGGUCUUUCGCUACCCCCGGAGGAUGGUCCAGGAGCUGGUCAGAUUCCCACAGCUCGGGAUCUUAUAGUUCGGGUCGAUAAUGGAG